UCUGGUUAAAAAAUUUCAAUGUCAAAUGUGCACUGCGAACUGAUGGAUCAAUCUUGUAAAAAUUAGUAAAAUCAUUCCAGAAAUGAAUUUUUCUAAUGAAAAAAAAAAAAAAUAAUAUAUACUACAAUGUCAUGAGAGAAAGAGCAUGGUUGAAUCGGGGUGGUAUGCCGAAAUCGCUGACAAAUCAAUAUACUAAUAAAAUAAAGGGGAGUACAAGAAGCAAACCAAAGAAUAAAUGGGAUAAGUUUAUUGUAAAUAGAAGAUAUGGAGACAUUUACUUGUCAUAAAAUACUCUCUUUCAGUAUCAAAUGUUUACUUGGAACAACCUGAUCUCAAUACAAAAUCAAGCAGUGUUAGAAUUAGGGAUGUAAUGAAUGAGGAUGUGAGGAACAUGAGGAAGCGAGUGAAGAUGUAGUUGCGAAUGUUUAAUUAUUAAGCAAAUAUAGAAAUUAAUGUUAAAAACGUAUGGUACUAUGGUUCUAUAUUUGAAUGUGAAUAUAUUUUAUAAGGCUAAGAAAAUAAA